AUACGAGGGGUGCAAGCGUUGUUCGGAAUUACUGGGCGUAAAGGGAGCGUAGGCGGAGAUUCAAGCGGAUUGUACAAUCCCGGGGCCCAACCCCGGCUCUACAGUCCGAACUGGAUCUCUUGGAUAGUUCAGGGGCAGGCGGAAUUCCUGGUGUAGCGGUGGAAUGCGUAGAGAUCAGGAAGAACACCGAUGGCGAAGGCAGCCUGCUGGGGACUUAUCGACGCUGAGGCUCGAAAGUGCGGGUAGCAAACAGGAUUAGAUACCCUGGUAGUCCGCACCGUAAACGAUGCAUACUGGGUGUCCGGGGGUUCCCCCGGGUACCGUAGCCAACGCGUUAAGUAUGCCGCCUGGGGAGUACGUACGCAAGUAUGAAACUCAAAGGAAUUGACGGGG
rnacentral:rRNA from 1 species